rnacentral:lncRNA from 1 species
GUGACUCUUCCUUAGCUGUACUGGAUGGUAGAGCACAUCUGGACCGGGAUGGGGCAGAGGUCCAGCCUGUGUUAUUAUCCCCAUUUUACACAUGAUGGAAAGGUGGUCCUGGGUCCCCAAUUCUUCCACUAUACAACAUGCUGUUUCCCCAAGUGCUGAGUAGAUCUUAUCAUAACCAGUCCUAGGACAACCGAGCACUGGUCACCACAACCUUGCCACUGCUGACCUUGGUUGAAGUCCACUUACUUGAUCCAGCUAUACUCCAUUAUAAUGAACAUUAUAAUUAAACCUUCAGGACAACCUCUGGAGCUUUUGAAAGGAGAAUUAACCAGUUAUUACAAAAAUAAAAGAGAGAGAGUGAGCGAGAGAAAGAUUGAUACAGAUGGCAGAUGAUAAGAGAAAUACAUUCAAGUGUUUCUACAUCAUUCUUCUUUUGGGUCUCAAUUCUCUUUUAAACUAUUCCUAUGAUCCAAGGAAAUCCGCUUGAACAUUAAUUUAAAAGUGAAGGAAGAAGAAGCCUCCAUGACAGAGGAGCAAUCCAAGCCUCUCCAGCAUGGCAGAUUUGGCCCAGGAUAAAGAAGAAUGGUGUCAUGAUCAGGACACAGUCAGGAAGGGCUGGGGGAGCUCCGGAACAAAUGCAGCAAAAUGCCGACAUCUGUUUUAUCUCAACAGUGGACUGUGCUUCUUUGGAGGUGAACUUGUGCUGAUACUUGAUGGGUCACGCAGACUUACAGUGAGAAACAGCUUCAGGAAAGUCAGAAGAGAAAUCCGAGCAAUAAUUAAAAACACACGGUAUUAGUCUGUUCCCAACGCUGCUAAUAAAGACAUACCUGAGACUGGGUAAUUUAUAAAGAAAAGAGGUUUAACGGACUCACAGUUCCACGUGGCUGGGGAGGCCUCACAGUCAUGGCAGAAGACCAAGGAAGAGCAAAGGGAUGUCUUACAUGGUGGCAGGCAAAAGAACAUGUGCAGAGGAACUGCCCUUUAUAGAACUAUCAGAUCUCGUAGGACUUAUUCACUAUCUUGAGAACAGCAUGGGAAAUACUCGCCUCUAUGAUUCAAUUACCUUGCAUUCCUGACCCAUGUAAAUCCCUAGUCUACAUUGCCCUGCAUAAUGGUCUUGUAGCAUUUUCUAGUUAUUACUGCUAUUUGUGAACACAUCUAUUCUCCUUAACUAUUAAUAGUAUAAACAAUUUGAGGGUAGGGCAUACUAUAUUUUAUUUUUUAACCCUUAGGACCACAAUGCUAUAGUUUGAAUGUUUGUGUCCCCCCCAGAUUCAUGCAUUGAAAUGCUAAUCUCCAAGGUAUUGGGAGAUGAGGCCUUUGGGAGGUGAUUAGGUCACAAGGGUGAAACCCUCGUGAAUGGUAUUAGUGCCCUUAUAAAAGAGGCCCCAGGGAGAUACCUCACCCCUUUCACCUUGUGAGGACACAGAUAGAAGACCCCAUCUAUGAAGCAGGAAGUGGGCCCUCAUCAGACACUGAAUCUGCCGACAUCUUGAUCUUAGACUUUCUGGCCUCUAGAAUUAUAAGAAAUAGAUUCUGAUGUUUACAAACACUCAGUUUAUGGUAUUUUGUUAUAACAGCCCCAACAAAGAGAAGCCCUCAGGGUCUCCUACUUUCUUUCUUUUUUUUUUUUUUAACCUUUAUUUUAGGUUCAAGGGUACAUGUGUCGGUUUGUUUUAUAGGUAAACUCAUGUCACAGGGGUUUGUUAUAUCAAUUAUUUCGUCACCCAGGUACUAAGCCUAGUACCCAAUAGUUACUUUCCCUGAUCCUCCCCCUUCUCCCGCCCUCCACCCUCAAAAAGAUCCCAGUGUCUGUUGUCCCCUUCCUUGUGUCCAUGUGUUCUCAUCAUUUAGCUCCCACUUAUAAGUCAGAACACGCAGUAUUUGGUUUUUUGUUCCUGUGCUAGUUUGCUAAGAAAAAUUGACUCCAAUUCCAUCCACAUUCCCACAAAAGAUAGGAUCUCAUUCUUUUUAUGGCUGCAUCGUAUUUCCUGGUGUAUAUGUACCACAUUUGCUUUAACCAGUCUGUAGUUGAUGGACAUUUAGGUUGAUGCCAUGUCUUUUCUAUUGUGAAUAGUGCUGCAAUAAACAUUUGCAUGCAUGUGUGUUUAUGAUAUAAUGAUUUAUUAAUAUAGUCCUUUGGGUAUAUACCCAGCAAUGGUAUUGCUGGGUUGAAUGCUAGUUCUUGUCUUUAGCCCUUUGAGAAAUCACCAAACUGCUUUCCAAAGUGGUUGAACUAAUUUACACUCCCACUGACAGUGUGUAACUGUUCCCUUUCCUCCACAACGUUGCCAGCAUCUGU